rnacentral:rRNA from 1 species
GAGGGUGCAAGCGUUACUCGGAAUCACUGGGCGUAAAGAGCGCGUAGGCGGGAUAGCAAGUCAGAUGUGAAAUCCUAUGGCUUAACCAUAGAACUGCAUUUGAAACUGUUAUUCUAGAGUAUGGGAGAGGUAGGUGGAAUUCUUGGUGUAGGGGUAAAAUCCGUAGAGAUCAAGAGGAAUACUCAUUUCGAAGGCGACCUUCUGGAACAUAACUUACGCUGAUUCGCGAAAGCGUGGGGAGCAAA